rnacentral:lncRNA from 1 species
UAAUCAUCAAAACAAUAACCAGCAUCACAAAUCGACUAUGUAGGUAAAUCCUCUUAACAGUUAAUGACGAAUAAUAUAAAGUUCUAAGUUGUGGUGCUUAAAUAAUCGCCCAUUUAGUUAAACCUAUCCUUCAACUGCUUUUAACCAAUAGAUGUAAUAUUUCGGAAUGGGGGAUCUUUGCUGAUUGCAGUUUUGGAUAUUAUAUUCAAAGGGAUCAAAUAAUUCAGAACCAAACCAGAUUCCAAAACAUUCCGUAUUAGUACACCAAGAAUACCUAUACUAUUCUAGUGUUCUUAUCCACUAAAAUCAACAAGAGUUAUCAUAAAGACACAACAAGUAAAAAUUCGGAGAAACAGCUACAAUCCCAUGAAGAAAUUGGCCUAGUCAGUAUGACCCCAGAUUCAUCCUAGCGAUCUCCAAAAUUANUUCCUCCCACCUCACACACUUAAGAAUACCUCAUGCACCAUUGGAAAUGACAAACAUUGAAACAACCAAGGAAGCACAUGGAUAAUAGGCAAAUCCACAUCAAUCUUAGAGGGCGUUUGGAUACGUGCAUUUCAUUUCAAAUGAUGGAUUUUAAAUGACAGGAUUUGAGUUGUCAUUUCAAACUAUCAGCUUUAUACUAAUAUUUGAAUGUCCUGGAUUUCAAAUGAAAUCCAAAUCUAUAUUCCCAAACAGAUUAUGUGUUCAAAUUCAGAAUUUCAAAUGAAAUCCAGGUUCCCAAACGGACCAUGAAGUAAAUUACUCUGAUUAAUUCGAAAUUUACCCUAAUAUUCAAGUACUACGACACAUGUAUAUUCAUAAGACCUUAGAUUCCAAUUCUAAAUAUCUAUUAAUAUCCCCAGCCAAAAUUAUUUCAUCAGCAAACCAAGAUAUACCUCUUCACUUAACAUGUCGAAAACAAGAGUACAGGGGAAUGCGAGAUGCAUAACAGCCCUUGUAUACAAAAUUCACACGCGCAAGUCAGUUAUAUAUAUAGCCAAUAAUAGGCAACACUAAACUAAAAGAAUUUAGGUCUUUAGCAGGCUCACUUUCAAUCUUUCAGUCUAUCCAACAAAUUAAAAAUAUUUAAAUUAAUAAAAUAGCAACUAACUCUUGGUUCAGCGGUAUCUACCUUGCUUCCUUUACCGGAUGUCGAGGGUUCGAUCCUUCUCAAAGACAAAACGAGUGUGUGCGUGGGUUUAAUCAUCAAAACAAUAACCAGCAUCACAAAUCGACUAUGUAGGUAAAUCCUCUUAACAGUUAAUGACGAAUAAUAUAAAGUUCUAAGUUGUGGUGCUUAAAUAAUCGCCCAUUUAGUUAAACCUAUCCUUCAACUGCUUUUAACCAAUAGAUGUAAUAUUUCGGAAUGGGGGAUCUUUGCUGAUUGCAGUUUUGGAUAUUAUAUUCAAAGGGAUCAAAUAAUUCAGAACCAAACCAGAUUCCAAAACAUUCCGUAUUAGUACACCAAGAAUACCUAUACUAUUCUAGUGUUCUUAUCCACUAAAAUCAACAAGAGUUAUCAUAAAGACACAACAAGUAAAAAUUCGGAGAAACAGCUACAAUCCCAUGAAGAAAUUGGCCUAGUCAGUAUGACCCCAGAUUCAUCCUAGCGAUCUCCAAAAUUAAAGCCAGGCUCAUUUCUAGCAACCCCAAAGGCUGAACUUGUACCAUCCGAAGCCAGGCUCAUUUCUAGCAACCCCAAAGGCUGAACUUGUACCAUCCGAAGCCAGGCUCAUUUCUAGCAACCCCAAAGGCUGAACUUGUACCAUCCGAAAUCACACGAGGAAAUAGACAUACAGCUCCCUUUAAGGCAAAAAUCAAGUCUAGUACUCUAACAGAUAAAUCAAGUGUGCAUUAAAACAUAACCCUUAAAAAUUAGCAUAAUCAGUAAGUAAUAAAACAUAAUGUGCAAAUGACCAGGGGAGGAUCUAGUAAAGGGCACAGGCAAUGUGCCCUUUUAAACAAAAUUGACGCUUUUUCGCCAUUAUAGAUUUUAAUAAAAUAUAGAAGUGUCCGCAUAAAAGUUAACAUAAGGGUGCCUUCCAAAACUUUACUUAUUGCUCCCCGGGGCCCAAAAAUAAAAUUCUAGAUCCGCCC